GAAUUCACUGGGGCCUUCGGCUUCCUCUGGGGCCUUCCUGAGAGGCCGGGCCUGCUUUGCUGCAGGUAAUGCAUUCCUUCAGAGCGGGGAAACCGAAUCCUUGUAAUUAGCGUGUCCAGGACAGGGCAAGUCGCCCCCUCCCUUGCACGUCGGCCCUUGGGGGGCCCCCGAAGCUUUCUAAGGAGCUCAGCCCCUGAAACGCGCCAGCCUCGUCGAAUUGAAAACUUUCUCGGGCGGCUCGGUGGGCCUGAAAAUCAGGACACAGGGGAGGGGAGCCGAGAGCGGCGAUCGGAGCACUUAACCCUUGGCACGCCGGGUGCCGGGCCCGCGGCCCCCCUCAAACACUCCCUCCCCAACCUCGGACCGCACGCCCCUGCGGGCGUCUUCACAGAGGGACGCCGGCGUCCUGGGCUCCACCACCGCGGCGUCCUGGGCUCCACCACCGCGCCUGAUCGCCGCGUUAAGUGUACAGAUGUCAGUCUGGUGUUUUACACGAUUUCCAGAUUAUAAAUCAGGAUUUUUCAUCUGGGUUCCAUGAGGUGCGCCCUUGAACAUGUUACCAAAACCUCAUCUCCUCUCAAUGCAACUGAUACAUCCCCUGUUGGCCUCACAGAGGAGGAUGGGGCCCAAAGGACUCAAAGGCAUUGAUUCAAACACACAGCUAUAUUAGCAAUCUGUCUGGGUUAUGAGGUCCUGCUAUAAUAAAAUAAACACUGCUUUUAUGAAAUAAAAGAAAUAAUAAUAAUAAUAACAACAACAACAAUAAUAAAAAGACUGUGCAUGUGUAUAGGUUUUGAAAAA